rnacentral:lncRNA from 1 species
AGACAGCAACUGGCUCAGAAUAGAGCAGUGGCUUUACUGACUGAGGCCGGCAGCUCCCGGGAGGGAAGAGGAGCCGAGGGCUUUGCAGUAAGUACGAAGCUGGUUCUUAUUUAAGACUGGGGUGAACGAUCUUAGGGGAUGGCUCUGACUGGAAGAGAGGUCUUGCUGCACCCGUAGACCUGAAGGUGCUCACCCAGCAGCCGUGUCUUCAGUUGUGUGGGGACUGCGGAAGCCAACAUUGCUUGCUUUGGGGGCUGACCGUGCAUUUGAUCCUCAUAUACUAUCUUGGGAGGAAAACAGUCUUCUUGUGAGUCAUUUUUCCCCCCAUCAUGCAAAGUCAGAAUGACUCAUGCUCAAGUUACUGUAUAAACUUCUGCCAAAAAGCCUUCUCCCUGGGUGCUAGUCACUAGAAAUGCAGAGCCCCCUCCUUGUAAGUGACUAGACCGGCUUGGUGCAUCUUUUUGGAUAAGGGUAGAAGUCUAAAGUCCUGCUGAGAAAAGCUUCCAGUUAGAUGAGUUCUUGGUAUGUGGAAGGUUCUGGAGUUAUGAGCAUGUCGAGUUUGACCUGGCAUCUAGCAGAGGAGUGGAUUCUGUCCCAGUGCUGCACAUCUGGACCAGACUUUAUUUCUGGGGUCUGGAAUUAGAUACUAGAGAAACCCCAGAUGGCAGAAUUUCAAAGUGAUAACAGGACAGCGACUGUGGCUUUUCUAGGAAGCUAUGUGUUCAUGUUUUUUUCUGUGACCGUCUUCCCCGACUCUACAGAAGGCUGUCAAUUCUUUGCUGUAUCUUCUGAAGGCUUCUGGAUUUCUAUUCUUAGUUUCCACUCUGUUUUCUGGGAAUGGAGCUUGGGCUUUGAUUUCCUCUUCCGGUCCAUUGGAACUUUUAUAUUGGAGUGAUUUAGCUCAGUAAUGUGGAGAGCUCACGCUGUAAGUGGUGAGAUGCACCUUCCCUUUCAGAACGCAAAGUCACCCUUGCGUUCCCGAUGUGUUUGUGCGGCUUCUGCAGGAGUUCUCAUCCAGGUGGCUCCUUUCAUCCCAGUAAGUUCCAAAGUUCCAUUCUCUACACUCCCGGUGACUUAGGGCUCUUUUUUUAGAGUAGCUGGUUCUGCUUCCCGGGACCUUCCCCUUGCCAAGUGAGUUACUGUCACGAGACAUCUGGACAGGGACUCCUGAAGGCAGAGGGGAAUGCAGAAUGAGCUACACUUGGCGCUCAGGUAAAACUCUGGAGUUGGAGAUAAACUCUUGCACCCUUGGAAGCUCUCCUCUUUUAAAGACUCCUCUCCGUCUUAUUUUUCAAAUGUUAAAUGACAAAGGUAAUAUUUUAGAGCUCUCACCCUGGAACAGGCAAAGCUGCCGUGUGUGUGCUUUGUAAGCAGGACUCCAGCCAUUCAUUGCCUGCAGUAGCCCCUGGGGCAGCUAGCUCUGUGGCCCUGACUUCACGAGUGAGGUGGGCACAGCUAAGCAAGGCAGUGGGCAGAAGGAGACGGUGCAGGCAGAAUGGGAUGGCUUGUCUUGACUUCCUGGUCCAGGGCUGUGCUAUUUGCCUGUUGCUUACCCUCCCCCACUCUUUAAAGAAGUAUUUUUGCGUUUUCGAGACAGAAUUUCUCUGUGUAGCCUUGGCUGUCCUGGAACUCCCUCUGUAAAUGAGGUUAAAUUUUUUAAGUU